CUUUUUGUGGUAAUUAUAAUAAAAGAAAAUAGAGAUAGAGGUGAGUUUGGUGGGAAAUUAAAUAUUUUGGGGCUUAGAGGAGUGGUGAAGUAAUUGAUGAAAGUGUUUGUUAGUUGUGAGUGUAAUAAUUAAUGAGUAAAGAGAGAGUGAUGAAGUUAAUAAAAGAUGGAGAGAAGAGUGUUGUGUUGUGUGUUAAUGGAUGUAUA
rnacentral:lncRNA from 1 species